rnacentral:rRNA from 1 species
UAGGGAAUCUUCGGCAAUGGACGGAAGUCUGACCGAGCAACGCCGCGUGAGUGAAGAAGGUUUUCGGAUCGUAAAACUCUGUUGUUAGAGAAGAACAAGGAUGAGAGUAGAAUGUUCAUCCCUUGACGGUAUCUAACCAGAAAGCCACGGCUAACUACGUGCCAGCAGCCGCGGUAAUACGUAGGUGGCAAGCGUUGUCCGGAUUUAUUGGGCGUAAAGCGAGCGCAGGCGGUUUCUUAAGUCUGAUGUGAAAGCCCCCGACGUAACCGGGGAGGGUCAUUGGAAGCUGAGAAACUUGAGUGCAGAAGAGGAGGGUGGAAUUCCAUGUGUAGCGGUGAAAUGCGUAGAUAUAUGGAGGAAAACCAGUGGCGAAGGCGGCUGUCUGGUCUGUAACUGACGAAGAGGCUCGAAAGCGUGGGGAGCAAACAGG